rnacentral:lncRNA from 1 species
CCAACGUUUAGGAGAAUAUUGAGGAACAAAUCAACCGAGCAAUUCUCUGGUUUACCAUACAUUUACUCUCUCUUAAACUGCUUGAUCUGCCUUUGGUACGGCUCACCUUUCAUAUCCCAAAGAAACCUCAUGCUUGUGACUGUGAACUCCGUUGGAGCCACUUUUCAGCUUUGUUACAUUAUCCUCUUCAUCAUGCAUACAGACAAGAAGAAUAAGGUUCCUUGAUUGACUCUUCACACAAAAAAAUCUGACUCGCUUUCAUUUAUCGUUCUAAUCAAGAUCUUGAUCAUGGCAGAUGAGGAUGCUUGUUCUGCUUCUUGUGGUGUUUGCUGUGGUUGGAUUGAUUGUAGCUGGAAGUUUACAGAUACCUGAUAAGCUCGCACGAUGGUACUUUGUUGGGUUCUUGAGCUGCGCUUCUCUUGUCUCCAUGUUUGCCUCGCCUUUGUUUGUUAUUGUAAGUUCACAAAAACGUCAACCAAGUAUCUUCAGGUGUUCAGCUUUCUGACUUGCUUGGUCUCUUGCAGAACUUAGUGAUUCGGACUAAGAGCGUGGAGUUUAUGCCGUUUUAUCUCUCUCUAUCAACGUUCUUGUUGAGUGGUUCCUUCCUCCUUUACGGGUUAUUCAAUAGCGACGCCUUUGUUUACGUAAGUUGUGCUCUUCAGUAAGUGAGGUUGCAACUUGUGUUGUCUCUCUGAGUAGUAUUAACGAAUCUUUAUUGUUUUUUUUGUUUGAAAACUCAGACACCAAAUGGAAUAGGAACGAUUCUUGGCAUUGUGCAGUUGUCUUUGUACUGUUACUACCACAGGAGUUCUAUAGAAGAAGAAACAAAAGAGCCUUUAAUUGUUUCUUAUGUGUGAGAUCAAUGGUGGGAAAAAAAAGAAAACAAGAAUGUGGAUACAUACAAGAUUCUUUGUUGUUUAUAUUAUUGUCUAUACAUUGUCUAGCACCUUGUGUCUAUAUCUACCGGCUUUCGUUAUCUCAUGGCGUGAAGAUGUUUAUCCUCUCGGCUUCUGUCAUGAACGAAAGAUGGAGAUCUCUUCUCAGUUUUGAUGGCUCAUUUGCUGAAGAUUAUCUGAGACCACAUGAAAGGAUUUCGUUUUUUUUUUUGUGUGAUGGAAAUCUCUGGUGCAUGGUAUAUAAUAUAUCUGAAGAACAUUUGUCCAUAUGUUGUUUGUCUUAGAAGAUUAUUCUAUUUGUUUGUUCAUAUGAUUUUACAUCUUUUUUCAAAAAUGUAGAAUAAACUUUGCAUAUUCUUGUAGCAAAAUUGUUUGUCCAUAAGGCCAUGCGAAUUGGUGAAUUUCUCAAAUGAUAGAUUCUGGCAUGAGUCUCUCUGCUUUUAUGAGAAACACCAUAACUUUUUUUUUUUUGUCACGAAGAAACACCAUAACUAAAUAUUAAUAUAACUGAUAAGAGAUUUUAACGAGAGAUUCACCAAUGCGAAUGUCCUAAGAUUUUGUUUUGCUUUGGUCUAUACACACAAAAGGAUUAAGAUUUGCAUGUACAUAACAUAAGACAUUGUUUACACAAACAUGUAAUGUUUCUGCGUUCUCGAAAUCUUACAUUUUCAUGGGGGUUUAAACUUGUUAUACACAAAACUCAAGAGACUUGCAUAGAAAGCAACUAUCAGAGCAAUUUGUUAUGCACGAAAGUUCAAGAGACUUGCAUAGGAAACAACUAUCAAAGCAAGUCUCUCAAAGUUGUUCUUACCAAAUAACUAUGUUUAACCUGCAAAAUAGCAACAAGGUACAAUGCAUUAACAGCUAAUCCAUAUAUAGCAUAGAACAUAACUGUUCUUAGUUGUUAAUGCGUUGUACUUGCAAGUGAGACAAUAUAUUGUGCGUGUGUUUUUAAUUCUCAGGCCAACGUUUAGGAGAAUAUUGAGGAACAAAUCAACCGAGCAAUUCUCUGGUUUACCAUACAUUUACUCUCUCUUAAACUGCUUGAUCUGCCUUUGGUACGGCUCACCUUUCAUAUCCCAAAGAAACCUCAUGCUUGUGACUGUGAACUCCGUUGGAGCCACUUUUCAGCUUUGUUACAUUAUCCUCUUCAUCAUGCAUACAGACAAGAAGAAUAAG